UGAAUACGAGAUGCUACGGCGUCGAAGCAGUGUAUGUCAGACUUCCAAGAAAAGCUCGCUAUGUCAUAAAUAAAUAAUGCCUGUACCAUAACCGACACAGGUGGGUAGGUAGAGUAUACUAAGGGGCGCGAGAUAACUCUCUCUAAGGAACUCGGCAAAAUAACUCCGUAACUUCGGGAGAAGGAGUGCCUUAUUUAAUAAGGUUGCAAUAACAAGAUCCAAGCAACUGUUUAUCAAAAACACAGGUCUCCGCUAAGUCGUAAGACGAUGUAUGGGGGCUGACGCCUGCCCAGUGCCAGAAGGUUAAGGAAGUUGGUUAGCAUCUGCGAAGCUGAUAACUGAAGCCCUGGUGAACGGCGGCCGUAACUAUAACGGUCCUAAGGUAGCGAAAUUCCUUGUCGGGUAAGUUCCGACCCGCACGAAAGGCGUAAUGAUUUGGAUACUGUCUCGGAGAGGGGCUCGGUGAAAUAGACUUGUCUGUGAAGAUGCGGACUACCUGCACCAGGACAGAAAGACCCUAUGAAGCUUUACUGUAACUUGGAAUUGAAAUCGGACUUUAUUUGCGCAGUAUAGGUGGGAGGCAUUGAGAAUAUUCUUGCGGGAAUAUUGGAGCCAUCAGUGAGAUACCACUCCUGUAAUGUUAGGUUUCUAACUUUGUAUCAUAAUCUGGUCAAAGGACAGUUUCAGGCGGGCAGUUUGACUGGGGCGGUCGCCUCCUAAAUGGUAACGGAGGCGUACAAAGGUUUCCUCUGAACGGGUAGAAAUCGUAUCUAGAGUGUAAAGGCAUAAGGAAGCUUGACUGUGAGACCUACAAGUCGAGCAGGGACGAAAGUCGGUCUUAGUGAUCUGACGGUGCUGAGUGGAAAGGCCGUCACUCAACGGAUAAAAGUUACUCUAGGAUAACAGGCUGAUCUCCCCCAAGAGUUCACAUCGACGGGGAGGUUUGGCACCUCGAUGUCGGCUCAUCGCAUCCUGGGGCGGUAGUACGUCCCAAGGGUUGGGCUGUUCUCCCAUGAAAGCGGUACGCGAGCUGGGUUCAGAACGUCGUGAGACAGUUCGGUCCAUAUCCGGUGUAGGCGUUAGAAUAUUGAGAGGAGCCUUCUUUAGUACGAGAGGACCGAGAAGGACAUACCUCUGGUGUACCAGUUAUCGUGCCAACGGUAAACGCUGGGUAGCUAUGUAUGGAGAGGAUAACCGCUGAAAGCAUCUAAGUGGGAAGCCCACCUCAAGAUGAG
rnacentral:rRNA from 1 species